AAGAUCCCUAAUGCGCCUUGAAAUGAGGAACUCAAAAGUCACGUGUAAACAAAAAUUCUCUGUGUAGUGAUAUUUGACACUUUUCUAUGAUAAACAAGUGACUGAGCUUAACCAUUCGAGUUAAUUUAGAAAGUAGGGGAACACAGAAUAAAUGUGUAAAAUCUAUGGAGCUAUUAAAUGUGUUCAAAGUAUUAAAUUUUCAAAGAACUUUUUGUGUUAAAAAUGGGAUUAUUUACCAUGAGGAGCCGCAUCACAAAAGGAUACUCGGGGUUUGCUAAUUUACGGAAAAAGUAAUCUCACUUCGUACCCCGAAAAUUUAACCACAUAUGUCAAAAUGUCUCAGCUUCGAAACGAGCCAUCACACAUAUCCAAGUUAACGAUAUGGACUGAGCAACAGAAGAAAACGUUACCAUUACGGCCUAUGGAAAAACUAAUGCGCAUCUGUACCCAAUUUAGAAGCUAAAUUCCAGAAGUUGUUGGACUGAUUUAUGGAUGAUUUCACCUGUACACCACCGAAAAUGAUGUUCCAGACGUAUCAUUAUUUUCAACCUGAGAUGGCAAACUAGAGGUUUUAAAAAGUCCUGAAUAACUGAAAUGGACAAAAAUACACAGAUUUAUUCAGAAUGUUAUACCGAUGAAGAUCACAUAAAAAUAUUUGGAAAAAUCAGAAGUAUGGAUUUCAAUAUGGGACAAGAUCCCUAAUGCGCCUUGAAAUGAGGAACUCAAAAGUCACGUGUAAACAAAAAUUCUCUGUGUAGUGAUAUUUGACACUUUUCUAUGAUAAACAAGUGACUGAGCUUAACCAUUCGAGUUAAUUUAGAAAGUAGGGGAACACAGAAUAAAUGUGUAAAAUCUAUGGAGCUAUUAAAUGUGUUCAAAGUAUUAAAUUUUCAAAGAACUUUUUGUGUUAAAAAUGGGAUUAUUUACCAUGAGGAGCCGCAUCACAAAAGGAUACUCGGGGUUUGCUAAUUUACGGAAAAAGUAAUCUCACUUCGUACCCCGAAAAUUUAACCACAUAUGUCAAAAUGUCUCAGCUUCGAAACGAGCCAUCACACAUAUCCAAGUUAACGAUAUGGACUGAGCAACAGAAGAAAACGUUACCAUUACGGCCUAUGGAAAAACUAAUGCGCAUCUGUACCCAAUUUAGAAGCUAAAUUCCAGAAGUUGUUGGACUGAUUUAUGGAUGAUUUCACCUGUACACCACCGAAAAUGAUGUUCCAGACGUAUCAUUAUUUUCAACCUGAGAUGGCAAACUAGAGGUUUUAAAAAGUCCUGAAUAACUGAAAUGGACAAAAAUACACAGAUUUAUUCAGAAUGUUAUACCGAUGAAGAUCACAUAAAAAUAUUUGGAAAAAUCAGAAGUAUGGAUUUCAAUAUGGGACAAGAUCCCUAAUGCGCCUUGAAAUGAGGAACUCAAAAGUCACGUGUAAACAAAAAUUCUCUGUGUAGUGAUAUUUGACACUUUUCUAUGAUAAACAAGUGACUGAGCUUAACCAUUCGAGUUAAUUUAGAAAGUAGGGGAACACAGAAUAAAUGUGUAAAAUCUAUGGAGCUAUUAAAUGUGUUCAAAGUAUUAAAUUUUCAAAGAACUUUUUGUGUUAAAAAUGGGAUUAUUUACCAUGAGGAGCCGCAUCACAAAAGGAUACUCGGGGUUUGCUAAUUUACGGAAAAAUUAAUCUCACUUCGUACCCCGAAAAUUUAACCACAUAUGUCAAAAUGUCUCAGCUUCGAAACGAGCCAUCACACAUAUCCAAGUUAACGAUAUGGACUGAGCAACAGAAGAAAACGUUACCAUUACGGCCUAUGGAAAAACUAAUGCGCAUCUGUACC